GAGGGUAUAGCUUGGUGGUAGAGUGUGUGCCUAACAUGCACGAGAUCAUAGGUUCAAUCCCCAGCACCAUCA
rnacentral:tRNA from 1 species